rnacentral:rRNA from 1 species
CCCUUAGAUGUUCUGGGCUGCACACGUGCUACACUGGCAGGUUCAGCGAGCUUCAUGCCCUGAUCUGAAAGGAAUGGGAAAUCUUUUCAAAACCUGCCGUGCUUGGGAUAGAUGUUUACAAUUAUUCAUCUUCAACGAGGAUUGCCUUGUAAGCGCACGUCAUCAGCGUGCAUUGAAUACGACCCUGUAUUCUGUACACACCGCCCGUCGCUCCUACCGAUUGAAGUUUUCGGUGAGUUGACAGGAGGAUUUUUUUGAAACUGGUUCGCCAGUGGAUUUUAGAUCCAAAUGCCAACGAAUCGAUGGCUUUAGAGGAAGGAGAAGUCGUAACA